AACGCAUAUUGCGCUCUCUGGCCCUCCAGAGAGCAUGCCUGUUUGAGUAUCAGUAAUACCCUCACUCCUCUUGACGGGGGCGUGGAAUUGAGCAUUUCCGUGGAUGUGAAUUCGUGUCCGGGCUUAAGGGGGGAGUUGUAGCAUUUGCCUACUAUUGCCCUUUCUUACUCUCCGGGUCUUUUGCGUCUUGCGGUUGCUUGAAAUGUAGCGUGUGCUGGGCUUGUCACUGCUCAACGACUAGGCGUACCAGUUCUCUUCGGAGAUCCACUUGCGCCGGUGAAUGUCGCGUGGGCCUCGUGUUGACUGUCAGUCGCGUUGUGUAUACUUUUUCAACAAAGGAGCCUGGCAGGAUGCUUGGCUGCUUGAUCUUGAUCUCAAAUCAGGCAAGACUACCCGCUGAAUUUAA
rnacentral:misc_RNA from 1 species